CAUACAUGACGUUUCUUAAUCCGUGAAUCAUUUUUGUCAUUCUCUUCUGCACGGGUUCUAACAUUUUGACAGCCAUUCGAUAGUAAGGUGACCAAACCUGAACCUUUCUCACCCUUCCCACCUCUUCUUAAUCUUAAACUAUAGUGUUUUCAGGAUUUGUCAUCCGUCACUGAUAGCGACACAAUAAGACCUUCAGUGCCAAACACGGUCAGUUACCACAAUACGGAAGCUGUGUCUACGAGCCAUUCUGAUAGUAAGGUAUGCAUGCACAGUGGCGGGAGUAUGAAACGGAAACACCUCAGCCAACCGAAAAGGGGUGUGGUGCUCUCUAGACAUGGUAACGCUGACGAGUAUGGAGCCUCACCAGGUUUCGAUCUGAUCGAUAUAGGGACGAACCGAACUCAGUUAUUAUUGCUGCUGCUGUGUUGAGUCGUUGGUGGAUUGUAAGCCAUGUCCCGCCUGACAGUACAAGAACGAUUGGUGAACAUGUCAAGAAAAUUAUUUCACAUCAUAUGCUCGUAUUUUAUUCUCAUGAAACACAUGCUUCGUAAUCGUGACUCGAUAAACUUCAAGAACCAUAUAAUAUUUAUCGACAUCCAGGAUAACAAGCCAUUAUAACAUUAUCAUUACCUAUGAUAAUAAUCACAUAAUUACUGUGACCACCUACCUGACGGUGAAUCUAAAAACGGUAGAACUUUUCCACUGACGCAGUACAUAAAAAAUGUCGCUACAGGAGGAGGCAGAGUGGGACCUCAGGGUGAAUAGCAUGCAGGAGGGUGUUGGGGAGGGGAGGAGUAAAGGAGCAAGGCACGGUGGACUUGGUAGGCGAUAGGAGCUACGAUGAGAGGGAUAGAUUUUAAAUGAUAACAUGGCUGAAUUAGUUUCAUGGAAAUACUGAACUUUCGUCACACUUGAAACAUUAUAUAUUGUAAUUUGCCAGCGUGGUUUAUAAGAGGAACAAGAAAUCCAAUAUUCAUAUUGAGACAGUUGGGAGAAAAGUACAGAAAAACAGAGAGAGCUUCAUAUGAUAUUUACAGACCUAGAGAAAGCGUGCGACAGGAUACCAAAACAGGAGCUGUGGAGAUGUUUGAGAGAGAGAAAGGUGCCAAAACAAGGGUAAGGAGUGGAGCAGGCAUGACGGAUACUUUUGGAGUUGGGGUGGGGCUGCAUCAGGGCUCUGCGCUGAACGCCUUUCUCUUUAACAUCGUAUUCGACGUGUUAACAAUGAAUGUAAGGGAGGGAACACCAUGGGACAUGAUGUAUGCAGAUGAUGUGGUUUUAGUGGGGGAGUCCAAGGAAGGGGUGGAGCUCAGACUGGAGGAGUGGAGAUCGGCACUGGAGAGCAGAGGAAUGAUAAUAAGUAAAACAAAGACAAAAUACAUGAUGUGUACAGAACAAGAACAUGAUGAAUUUGAAAGUGUAAGAUUGGAUGGUAUGAUGCUGGAUAGGGUGGAUGCCUUCAAAUACCUGGGAUCUAUCCUAUCAGCAGAUGGUAAUGAAAACAAGGAGAUAACUGGAAAAAUCCAAGCUGGAUGAAGAAGUUGGAGAGAGGUGUCCGGAGUACCGCGUGAUAGCAAAAUGCCAGUGAAAGUAAAAGGAAAGGUAUACAAGACUGUGGUACUACCAGCAAUGACGUACGGGGCAGAGACAAUAGCCGCAAAAAAAACAAAUGAGAGGAAGUUGGAAGUAGCUGAAAUGAGGAAGUUGCGAUGGAUGUGUGGCGUGACUAAGAAGGACAAAAUCAGAAAUGCAAGAAUCAGAGGAAUAGUGAAGGUGGUGAAGGUGUCGAAGAAGAUGAAAGAGGCGAGAUUGAGGCCCUAGGGGCAUGUUUUGAGGCGAGAUGGAGAAAGUGACGAGAGAAUAAUACUGGAAAUGGAAGUGCAGGGAAGAAGAAGGAGAGGAAGACCCAAGACGAGAUGGAAGGAAUGCAUAGCAGCAAACAUGAGAGAGAAGGGCCUGAACACCAACAUGGCAGGCGAUAGAGGAAUGUGGAUGCGGUUCAUCAAAAACAGCGACCCCGUAUAAAGACGGGCUAAUAAGCUGGCAAAGAAGUUUAUAAGAAGUCAUCAAACUUUCUUCUUCAUGUGCAAAUAAUUAUGGCGUCUUUAGUUUGACAGAUAUUACACCUGUUGUAAUAUAACUGAUUGAGUGUGUCCACCCUGAUCUGUCUGUCGGGCAAGAUUGUGUUUUCCGAGCUUUUCACUCGUGGCCGCCAGUGACUGUCCGCUAGUCGGGAAUGGGGAUGAAGCUUCACGUGGUACCUUGGAAGAGGGACAUUGUAUACAAAGCGGGGGAAACCCUAUUAACAUUUUCCCUAAGUGUUCUGUGUGGUUCACAUUGGUAUUUCUAUGACACCUACGUAAAAUAUAGGUGGAUUUCCCUUAACUAGGCUUAUGUUACCAUACUUGAAUGCAGUGUUUGCCUCAAUAUUACACAUUGCUAAAGUCAGCUGCUGAGUCCUUACGGGACUCUCUACACCUUAAUGUAAUCGCAAUGACUGUCAGACGGCGGUGGAACAAUGAAGGAGGGCAUCACAGGACACCAGCAAUAAAGGAGUUCAUGACGGACCAGCACCGUGAACGGGGCAACUACAGUUUGCCCAGCAGUAUGUGAACUGCGAGAAAGUCUUGGGAACUCGUUAUCGGGAUUGAUGAAAAUAUGUCUGUGUCCACGUGUCAAAACGCCACUGAUGGAGAAGAAACAACACAUGUUAAGUAUAAUUUACGGUGUUUUCAACAUUCAAUGGUGCACAUUUUUGUAGCAAUACUGUGACAUCAUUACUAAUACAGGACUUUUCAUAACUAUUAUCAAAACCUUUUUAUGCUCUAUAUACGAGUACAUCACUGCUCGUAAUUGCUGAAUGAUUGGUAUGUAACGGAAACACAUUCUCUGACCUUAUAGCUUAAAUAAA